UACUCGUUCUCCAAUGAGUGUCUAAUGUCCAGCAGUGAAUUUGCACACAUUGUUGUUACGGUUUUUAUAUGAUCCGAAACGAAUAACAAACAGGACUAGAGUUAGCCGAAACCUUGUCGUAAUUUAUUAUGUCCUUUAAAAAGUCAACUCAGGGAAGCCAGAAAUAAACACAGUAAGUCGAAUGUCCAGAAACUAAAAUAAUCCAUUAACCUUGGAAAAAGCUAACUGUUCCUUUUAGACGCUGAACUUCAGACAGAAGAAAUCCACUGCGGGAAAAAUCCAAACUGAAACUCACUUAUAGUUUGUCAGGAUGGGAGCGAUGAAACUCAACGAUCAGUCUCGGGUUCAUCAUGAUCCGGCGGAAGACCCAGCUCCGAUCCUCCAUACGGUAGCCCUCCCAGUCAACCAAAGAGUGGAACCCUCGUCCCCGGCGCCGCAUGUUCAUCAGUCGAUGGACCUUCCACUGGGGGUGCCCGUCCACAAUCUUAACCGGAGGCUGAGGUGGGGAUAGAUGAUCAGGGGGCUGUAGGAGACUGGCUUAACCCAGGACACAU